rnacentral:misc_RNA from 1 species
GAUGAAGAACGUAGCGAAAUGCGAUAAGUAAUGUGAAUUGCAGAAUUCAGUGAAUCAUCGAAUCUUUGAACGCACAUUGCGCCCCUUGGUAUUCCGAGGGGCAUGCCUGUUCGAGCGUCAUUAUAACCCCUCUAGCUCAGCUUGGUGUUGGGGCCUGCUGCACUGGCAGCCCUUAAAAUCAGUGGCGGCGCCAUCUGGCUCUAAGCGUAGUAAUUCUUCUCGCUAUGGAGUCCUGGUGGAUGCUUGCCAUCAACCCCCAAUUUUUCUAUGGUUGACCUCGGAUCAGGUAGGGAUACCCGCUGAACUUAAGCAUAUCAAUAAGCGGAGGA